rnacentral:rRNA from 1 species
GAAAGUAAGCAAGGGCAGACGGUGGAUGCCUUGGCUCUCGGAGGCGACGAAGGACGUGAUAAGCUGCGAAAAGCCCGGGGGAGGCGCAAAUAGCCCUUGAUCCCGGGAUAUCCGAAUGGGGCAACCCGGCAGGCUGAAGGCCUGCCAUCCCGAAAGGGAGGCGAACGUGGGGAACUGAAACAUCUAAGUACCCAUAGGAGGAGAAAAUAAACAAUGAUUCCGUAAGUAGUGGCGAGCGAACACGGAAGAGCCCAAACCCAUGUCGUCUAGGCGACACGGGGGUUGUAGGACCACGACGUGGCAAGAUAGAGUCAAGUGGAACGCCUUGGAAAGGGCGACCGUAGAGGGUGAUAGUCCCGUACACGACUGACGAUUGAAGCCUAGUGGUAUCCUGAGUAGCGCGGGGCACGAGAAAUCUUGCGUGAAUUAGCGGGGCCCAUCCCGUAAGGCUAAAUACUCCCGAGAGACCGAUAGCGAACCAGUACCGUGAGGGAAAGGUGAAAAGAACCCCGAGCAGGGGAGUGAAAUAGACCCUGAACCCGUCUGCCUACAAGCGGUCGGAGCGUCGUAAUGACGUGACGGCGUGCCUUUUGCAUAAUGAACCUACGAGUUACCUUCCCCGGCAAGGUUAAGUACCUAAGGUACGGAGCCGAAGCGAAAGCGAGUCUGAACAGGGCGCCAAGUCGGGGGGGGUAGACGCGAAACCGAGUGAUCUACCCUUGGCCAGGUUGAAGGUUGGGUAACACCAACUGGAGGACCGGAUGGGUAAGCGUUGAAAAGCUUUCCAAUGAGCUGAGGGUAGGGGUGAAAGGCUAAUCAAACUCGGAGAUAGCUCGUACUCCCCGAAAUGCAUUUAGGUGCAGCCUCUUUAUAGUAUAUCGUGAGGUAGAGCGACUGAUUGGAUGCGAGGGCUUCACCGCCUAUCAAGUCCAGAUAAACUCCGAAUGCGCGAUAUAUAUUUACAGGGAGUGAGGGCGCGGGUGCUAAGGUCCGUGUCCGAGAGGAGAAGAAUCCAGACCACCGGCUAAGGCCCCCAAAUGAUCGUUAAGUUGAACUAACGAGGUCGGAUCGCAGAGACAGCUAGGAUGUUGGCUUGGAAGCAGCCAUUCAUUUAAAGAGUGCGUAACAGCUCACUAGUCGAGCGAUCUGGCGUGGAUAAUAAUCGGGCAUAAACGAUCUGCCGAAGCCGUGGAUGUCGCAAGACAUGGUAGGGGAGCAUUCCAUGCGGCGUCGAAGAUGAGGGAUGACCCUUGUUGGAGCGCAUGGAAAAGCAAAUGUAGGUAUGAGUAACGAUAAGGGGGGCGAGAAACCCCCCCGCCGAAAGACCAAGGUUUCCUGAUCAACGCUAAUCGGAUCAGGGUGAGUCGGGACCUAAGGCAAAGCCGAACGGCGCCGCCGAUGGAAGAAUGGGUUAAUAUUCCCAUACUGCCUCAUGGAGUGACGUGGAGACGGAGAAGUGACAGUCCUGCCGGCUGACGGAAUAGCCGGUUGAAGGGUGUAGAUAUUGAUUCCCGUAGGCAAAUCCGCGGGGAGAGUCGAACCUGAGAGUAUACGGAGCGCUUGCGCAACGUAAUAUGGACGUAACCAUGCUCCCGAGAAAAUCCGCUAAACUUAUCCAUGCGGCACCCGUACCGUAAACGGACACACGUGGUCGGGUUGAGAAUACUGAGGCGCUCGAGUGAUUCACGGUUAAGGAACUAGGCAAAUUGACCCUGUAACUUCGGGAUAAAGGGUCCUCGUCGUAAGGCGAGGCGCAGAGAAUAGGUCCAGGCAACUGUUUAACAAAAACACAUGGCUGUGCUAAAUGGAAACAUGAUGUAUACAGCCUGACACCUGCCCGGUGCUGGAAGGUUAAGAGGAGAUGUCAUCGCAAGAGAAGCGUUGAAUUGAAGCCCCAGUAAACGGCGGCCGUAACUAUAACGGUCCUAAGGUAGCGAAAUUCCUUGUCGGGU